rnacentral:rRNA from 1 species
GGAACCUGGUUGAUCCUGCCAGUAGUCAUACGCUUGUCUCAAAGGUUAAGCCAUGCAUGUCUAAGUAUAAACGAUUCUAUACUGUGAAACUGCGAAUGGCUCAUUAUAUCAGUUAUAGUUUAUUUGAUACUACCUUACUACUUGGAUAACCGUAGUAAUUCUAGAGCUAAUACAUGCAUAAAAUCUCAACUGCC